GUCUCUGUCCUACCAUCAGGCACACACAUUUGUCUGGCAAAAACCUUCCCACACACGCUCACACACCCAACAGCACACAAUUCAUUCUCUUUCUUUCUCUUUCUCUCUCCCCACCGUCCCUCCCUCUCCUUCUCCUUCCCCUUCUCCAUUCCCCAAUAUAAUACUCCACUUAGUUCUGUCUGAAUCACCAAUGACUGGUGCAGCCUGCCUCAGUCCUCUGCUAUAUACAGUAUCUGUUCUUUAUGUCAAAAUGGGAGGGAACAUUUGGGACUGUGAGGCACAAAGGACUCGUCUGUAGAUCAACUACUUUGUCUGGCUCUAAUCCUCCAUCUAAGCGGAAUUAGUGACGUCAAACCGGUUUCCAUGGCACAGCCAGACUCGUGACAACUCUGUUAUAUCAAGCAGAAGGGCAAAAUGGGCUACGCUUAAUUGCACACAGAAACAAACACAAAACCAAACCACCCAGAUUAAUCUCUUACUUUCUGGGGACUGGGAAACAAUUUUAAGAUUUGAAGGUACAUUAAGAAUUUUUAUACAAGUUCUAUAAUGAAGAUUCAUGUUGCUCACACUUCAGCAUACUUCCUGGUUUGUUAUGACAAACAUCUAAAUAAACAAGUCAAGAAAUAUUUUCUGUGAUGCAACCUUCUUAAUUUAUCACACUGCUUACUUGCUAGCAGUCACAUAAUGGUGUCUGUACAAAUUACUUUAGGAUCUAUUAGAACUAAAAUGCUGCAAAAAUAAAGCAGAAAACAACUGCGGAUAAGGAAGCACCUUUUCAUAUAAAUAUAUUCUCUUCCAUUAUUAGACCUCCCACAAGCCAAACAUUACACUUACCCAAACUAUAAAAUUCAGUACCUUGCAUUUAUAGUUUCCUAUAGCUAUGCGCUGUGAGAGAAUUCCCUCAGACCUGUGCAAUUCAGAUGUGACUCUUUGUUACCUGGUUAAAAACAAAAUUGCCAAGCCUUUGUUCUACAAAAGCCCCACCGUUCUAACAGACUAUUGCAGGAUCCUUGUCCUCCUCUAUAAAAAUACUGUGUCACAGAGGAAGGGACAGGUCUCCUUUGAAAUAAGUCACCGAUUUCUGCCUUCCUCGAGAAACCUCAGUGCUGCCCCACAAUGCAGGUGAGGAGAGGCGGGGAGGUGCAAAUGCAGCUACAGAGAGCUGGCACCACAAGGUCAGUCAGUGUGGACAGCUACGUACAGAAUGUGAUGGAAGAGAGGGGCCAAUGUGCACAAGUCUUCAUCUCAAUUCUUCACAUCCAAGAAGACGUAAGCAUGAUCUUGCAGGGCCACUUUAUAUAUUUUAAGCAUAAACACAAUACUGAAAUUGGUGUAGAAAGUUCUCCAAUAGACUCACAAAGACAAAGAAACAUAUCAACACAGAAUUCUAUGUCAGAAAAGAAUCCUGGAACACAGGGGUCAGGUACAUAAUUAAGAGGCAGCAAUCCAAAUACUUACAUUAUACAAAUAUGGCUUUGUUGAAGAAAGUUUGCAAACAUUUAGCACAUGAAAGAGAAUUACCUGCCCUAAAACACCACAACAUGUCAUAAUUCCACCUUAAGCAAUACAAUAUGAAAGAGGCUAUUUUUAGCUUUUCCAUGGUUGUUAUAGCAACCACCUCCUGGCUCCAGCUGUACACAAUGUUUAUAAUUCCAGGGAAGUAGAAAGGGCAAGUUUCCUCUAUAAUGUAAUUAUGCUCUUUCUACUUCUAUGAUAAUAAUACUUAGUUUGAUUACAGAUACUUGUUUAGCGAUAGUCAGUUGGCCCUAGGCUAUAGUUCUAGAGGCUUUGGAAAAUCUCAUACAUCAGAGGUAGAAUCAGUGAAAGGAAAAAAAACAAAAACCUGGAUGCUGUGAACAACUCCAAGACCUCCAAAAAUAAUGAAGCCCUAGGUGGAAGGAGCCUCAGUUUCCUGAAUGACAAGUGUUCUCAGCUGGUUUGGCCACAGCCAUUUCCAUAUCUGACCAUCAGGACCUCAUUUCCAAUGUCAACCAACAAUGAGCAGCUUGAAGAUUUUAAAGGGAAAUUUUACGGUACAGAUAAAACGGAAUUACAAAGAACUGUGCUAAGAAACAGUUUUGUGAUCAGUCUCUGUAGAUGCGCAACAAAUGGAUCCUUAACCUCAGUCUCUUCAUCUACAAAGAUUAAGUUGUGGAUACAACACCUGGCACAUGAAAGUACUCAAAUAUCUGCCUGGAGCUGGUCACCAAGGUCUCUUAGCAGAAGCAGGGUCUCAGGUCUUCCAUUUGCAAAGCUGUGAUUCCUUUGGGUCUCUUCCAAACUCCAGGCUAUUUUGCACAGGAAGAAUGACUAUGAAGCCCUAAAUUCAGCAAGUGAUCAAGUUGGCUCAAGAUGCAAGCCCUGCUCUUUCAACAGGUUUUCUUUGAAGGCUUACCCAUCAUUCAGGUUUUUCCAAGGAAGGAACAAAGCUUACUUCCAAUUUUACACUGCACAUUAUUUCAAAUGUAAGAACCCUACCACACAUUUCUCAAGAAAAAGAAGACCUCCAGUACAUCUUGGUAGUACCCAACCCAAGCCGCAACACAGAUGGGGCCAGGAGGUACUGCCUUUUCCUCCAAAGGUGGAUCUGACAUCAUAAGAUCACUUCCUAACAUGCCUACGUUCCUCUCACAGCCUUUCUCCCAGUAAAAACUGAAAAAGCAGAGGCCGGUGCCUCACAAAACUCCACUGAUAAAGGCUCUGAGAGGAUACAGCUUUAAGAAGGCAUUCCUGGGAAUAUCCCAGGAACUCUGGCUGCCCCCUCAGAAUAGCAGGCAAUUGAGUUAGUGAUGAUGACUCAGGCUGGCUUUUAAAUCCUGAUCCGCAGGAACCCCCACAACCCUAAAGAGGGAAAGAGAGAGUCAAGUGGAAAAGGCCUCCUCCACCGUGACUCAUGCUCCACCGUGUGAUUCGCCCGGCACUAAGACAUGGAGGUUAGCUUCAUUAGUCAUUUUAAUGAAAUUUUCAAAGAGAGUGUUCUCCCUAUAAAUAAUAAUGAGCUCUGCAUCCACAGUGUGUGUGUG